CGGCCCAGACUCCUACGGGAGGCAGCAGUGGGGGAUAUUGCACAAUGGAGGAAACUCUGAUGCAGCGACGCCGCGUGAGGGAAGAAGGUCUUCGGAUUGUAAACCUCUGUCUUUGGGGACGAAUCAAUGACGGUACCCAAGGAGGAAGCCACGGCUAACUACGUGCCAGCAGCCGCGGUAA
rnacentral:rRNA from 1 species